rnacentral:rRNA from 1 species
GGUAAUACCGGAUGCUCCGCUCCAUCGCAUGGUGGGGUGGGAAAUGCUUUUGCGGCAUGGGAUGGGGUCGCGUCCUAUCAGCUUGUUGGCGGGGUGAUGGCCCACCAAGGCGUUGACGGGUAGCCGGCCUGAGAGGGUGACCGGCCACAUUGGGACUGAGAUACGGCCCAGACUCCUACGGGAGGCAGCAGUGGGGAAUAUUGCACAAUGGGCGCAAGCCUGAUGCAGCGACGCCGCGUGCGGGAUGGAGGCCUUCGGGUUGUAAACCGCUUUUGUUCAAGGGCAAGGCACGGUUUCGGCCGUGUUGAGUGGAUUGUUCGAAUAAGCACCGGCUAACUACGUGCCAGCAGCCGCGGUAAUACGUAGGGUGCGAGCGUUAUCCGGAUUUAUUGGGCGUAAAGGGCUCGUAGGCGGUUCGUCGCGUCCGGUGUGAAAGUCCAUCGCCUAACGGUGGAUCUGCGCCGGGUACGGGCGGGCUGGAGUGCGGUAGGGGAGACUGGAAUUCCCGGUGUAACGGUGGAAUGUGUAGAUAUCGGAAAA